rnacentral:hammerhead_ribozyme from 1 species
GCCUGUUGACGAGUCCCAAACAGGACGGAACAGCUGUCCAGUAC